ACAUCAGUUGAUUUUAUCAUUCCAAGGAGAGCAUAGUAAAAGUACAUUUUUCAGGAACAUGGGAUCAGCAUCAGGAGUGACACAGGUGGCUGUUAGUCCAGGACAUCAUCUCUUCUCAUGUGGUGUGGAUGGAUCAAUGAAGUUUAGAGCUCUUCCUGAAAGAGAUUCCAUUGUUAGAUAUUGGACAGCUUAACAUAUAAUAGAUCACUGAUAUUCAGAGCUUUCUAGUCUAAUAUAUAUACUGCAUGUAUUUGUUUUACUCCAUCAAACAGGAUUUCAUGGCAAGAAAUAUGCAUUGUGGCAUAUCUUUAAAACUUCUCAUUUUUUCAGGCAUAAUAAAAUUAUUUCUGACAUUCUUAUGGAAAUGACCUAAGAGUCACACUUUUUGACAUUACAUUACAUUUGUGUAAUUCUGACAUUACAUUACAUUUGUGUAAUUCAUAAUUUGAAAAAAUAUCUGAAUAACUGUUAUACCUUAUUAUGUUUUGUUAAUAGAACAAUUUAUAAUCAAAAACCAACCGUUGCUUUGUAAAUGUUCCGGUUAAAUAUUUAAAUCAUGAGAAUAAUUAGAUGUCAUAUAUAAAACAUAUUGACUGUGUGGCUGUUAGCAUCACCUUAACAUAUGAUCACAUCAGUGGGCAUGUAGCAUUCUGUGUUUUAAUGAGCUUGUCCUUACAGAUCGUAGGUGUUUUCCACUAUAAAAUAUAUUUCCUCUACAUUCUAGAGGAAUCCAGAAAUGUGUUUUGAAUUGUAGCCAUGAAAACAAAGUUAUUGCAAAUACUCUGUACUGGUAUAUCUAUCUUUCCAUCUAUCCUUGAAUCAUGUUCCAUUGUCUCAAACGAGAAAAUAUAUUUCUUGAAAGAGAAUCAUAGGGGACCAGUGUUUAUUCAAGUUACUUCUACUUUUUUAUAUUGACUCUCAAUAAUACAGGGUUUAAUGGAUAAGUGUUAUUGACUUUUGUGAAUAUUCUAUUUCAACUUUGACAGUAGAUACUAUAUAUAUAUAUAUAUAUAUAUCAUUUCUUAACUCGCAGAUGAGAAUGAAAUUAUAGGUGAUGUUAUUAUUGAUAUAAACUCAUACAGUUGUUGUUUGAUUACGGAUUUACUUCAUGUUUUGUUCUAUAAAUGCUGAAUACAGUUUUAGGUAAGUGAUAACCAAAAUUCUUCUUGUCAUGGUAACAAAUUCUUUUUUAUUAUUUUAUUAUUGUGUUUGGGGAAACCAUAGGUUUAUCAAAUGGCUGGAACCAUGACCCCCCUGUAAGGAAGAAUAUAUGUAUAGCUCUAAUAAUGUCGAUGUUAUGAUAUAUAUGUACUAUGAUAAUUAUCAAUGUGUAUGUAUGAGAAAAUUUUGAUUUAAUGCAUUAUGUAUGUGUUGUCAUUUAUAACUAAUUUGAAAUAUUAAAAAAAAAAUAAUAACAAUGGUCAGAUGCAGUAUUGUUUAAAUAGACCAGUUCUUUGAGAGAAUUCACGAAAUUGAUUACACUUCUGUUCUGUCCUACGCCACUACCUACAUCAUGAGUAAACACCUUGUAAAUAGUGCCAGAGUUUACACGUUGAAUGGGAAUGGAAGUAUAAAAUUGUACAGAGGUGUAAAUAUUGUUUUAAUUUAUUUCAUCAUCAUUUUGUGUAUGAGUGACUUAUGUUGUAUUAUGGUUCAAAAGGGUAACUUAGUACAUGAUAUUAAAUAUCAUUUUUUGAAUCUACUGUCCUAAGAAUGACUUGUGUGAUAAUGUGUUCAAUUUAAAUCUUUUAAAUUCCAACCAAUUUUACUUCAGAUUUGAAACGUUUCCAAUAUGUUUAUAUUCAUAUGUGUUUAUUGUCAAAUCUGUUGUGAUUUCAUAUCUGUAAUGAGUUACCCUGAUGCAUUAACAAGUUAUCCAUUCUGAAUUAUUGAUAUCAUCAAUUUAAUCAUAUGGUCAACAUAUAACUAGUAAUUUGAACCGAAUAAUAAUCUUUAUUUAACAAGGAAGUGGGAUAACGAAAUAAAUACUUUUGGUUUUGGUCAUUGCAUGUAUUUUGGUGAAUAUUGUCUUAAGGAUGUACUUAGGUGAGGCUUUGGAAUUUGUGUCAAAUGUUUGGACUCCUUGGGUGUUUUUCCAUACAAUACAAUGUAAAAUAUUUUGCCCCAUAACACCCAUUUAUUUUUUUCAUAUAAGACUUAAUAGCUCAUGAAAGGUCAUUUACCAAAAUUUUAGAAGAUUCUUAAUUUUCUUUCUUUUGUUUUGAGACCUAAUAAUACCAAUGCAAAUAUAAGGUAAAAGUCCGAGUCAGCCUUUCCCCGCCAUAUUUUAAAUCUCAAAUAUCUCGAAAAGGAGGUCCAUGACCUAUCAAUAUUUUUAGCUUAUAUUUAUCCUUAAUUGAUGCUCUACCAGCUUAUAGUAUCAAUUUUAACUUCUUAAUUUAUUGAUUUUCACCUUACUUCACCUAAGUACAUGUAUUUCCUUAGGUGUCAAGUGCAUUCAAUUUUUGGCAAUGGAUAUUAUUUUCCAACUCGUCCAUUAACCCUUAUAAUGUAUGGGAAAACUGUUUAAAAUGUCAACUCUAGGAUAUUAUGUGAUGUUUUAUGCAUAUUUGCAGCCUAACUGUAUCAAUUAUGUUCCACUGGGAUAUGCAGUUACAAUACUAUCUUUAAAAGCAUUUAAUCUGUCCAAAGUUAAAAAAAUAUUUCACACCUCUAAAAAUUACAGCCAGCUUUCAUUGUUCUUGAUUUAAACAAAAGUUUCAAUAACCUAAGUCAUA
rnacentral:lncRNA from 1 species